rnacentral:lncRNA from 1 species
UGAAACGAUGUAGCUGAUAUCACGCAACAGUGAAUGCAAAAUUCAACCCUAAGGUUAACAUCUAAUGACCACCUUCAAAUAACCAAUCUGAAAUCGAAAAUCAGAAAUAGGAAAAUCAGUUUAACUUACACCUUUCUCUGGUAGCCUCCGAUUAGCCUCUCCGGUGGUGCAUCAGCGGCCGACCUACCUGUUUUUUGUUCCCGUCAACACACAUCAACAUAGAGGAAUCGAGAAUCGAUAUCCCUUUUAAUGACCACCUUCAAAUAACCAAUCUGAAAUCGGAAAUCAGAAAUAGGAAAAUUAGUUUAACUUACACCUUUCUCUGGUAGCCUCCGAUUAGCCUCUCUGGUGGUGCAUCGGCGGCCGACCUCCCUGUUUUUUGUUCCCGUCAACACACAUCAACAUAGAGGAAUCGAGAAUCGGUAUCCCUUUGCAUCGUUACUUUUGAGCUGUAUAAUUUUUUUCCUUUAUAUCCGAUGUAUCACAGCACCAAAGAACCGACAACUGGUGAGAAGUUGUGUCAACGACUCUGCGA